rnacentral:rRNA from 1 species
AGCAGCCGCGGUAAUCCCAGCUCCAAUAGCGUAUAUUAAAGUUGUUGCAGUUAAAAAGCUCGUAGUUGAAUUUCGGGAUCAAUAUGUUGGUCGUGCCUUGGUACGUACUGGCAUUAUUGGUUUCUACCUUCUGAAGAACCUCGAUGUCAUUAAUUUGGUGUCUUGGGGAAUCAGGACUGUUACUUUGAAAAAAUUAGAGUGUUUAAAGCAGGCUCGCGCUUGAAUACAUUAGCAUGGAAUAAUGAAAUAGGACGUUUGAUUCUAUUUUGUUGGUUUCUAGGAUCGACGUAAUGAUUAAUAGGGAUAGUUGGGGGCAUUAGUAUUCAAUUGUCAGAGGUGAAAUUCUUGGAUUUAUUGAAGACUAACUACUGCGAAAGCAUUUGCCAAGGAUGUUUUCAUUAAUCAAGAACGAAAGUUAGGGGAUCGAAGACGAUCAGAUACCGUCGUAGUCUUAACCAUAAACUAUGCCGACUAGGGAUUGGAUGAUGUUAAUUUUUUGAAUGACUCAUUCGGCGCCUUA